AUAGUUCCAUCACUUUUUUUGACGAAAUUUUAAACGCUACUUUCCACAAGAAAAUUUGCAUCAAUUUCAAACAGCCUUAUCUUCCUCAAACAAAGAAACCCAUCUACUUCCCCUCAAAAAAAAAAAAUAGAAACCCAUCUACUCAGGUAACUGACAUCGAAUCACAAACUGAACAACCCUAUCAAUUUUGCCAACAAAUUUCAAUCUCCCAAAUCCUCUCCUAUGAACUGAAAGGAGGAACUGAAUUCACUAAUUGUGAUUAUAUACUAAGAGUAAGAGGGAGAAUUCACGAGAUUUGCUUCAAUAUUAUUCCAAAUUUCUUCCUGAAUUCAUGUAUAUCUGCAAAAUUCAGGUUUUCAACGCAGCAAGUCGGCCAAAUUAUAUUAAUCAAGAAAACCUGAGCACAGAGGCGAAACUCAAGAAAAACAAGCAAAGAGGCGAAAUUUCGAAUACCAGUCGAACUUCAAAGGUGCAUUCCUUUAUUUCGGAAUUCUGGAAAUUCUUCAAAAUUCACGAAACCCAGUUGAGCUCCAAAAUCAAGUCCAUGGUAAUAUGAUAUAAAUAUAGAGUGUAAAUUAUUCAAGAAAAGACAGCAAAGAGUCGAAAUUCAAGAAAACCCAACAAAGAGGGGAAAUUUCGGAUCAUAGUCGAGCUUCAUAAGGUAUGUUCUUCAAUCCAUUGUUAUUCGAGUUUUAUGUUUUAGGAAAAAUUAUUUUAGCUGUGAAAUAAAGUAGGUUUUGUUACUUUGUACUACUAAUUAUUGAUACCUUGCAUGAUAUGAGUUUGUUCCACCUCCUGCAUUAACAUUUCGGAUCAUAGUCAAGCUUCAUAAGGUAUGUUCUUCAAUCCAUUUUUUUGCUAUGUGAAGUUUGAGAGAAAUAUUUUCUAUGAACUGUAUGAACAAGUUUAAUUAGAUUUUGUGAUUCAGCUUGUGAUAGAUGCUUUUCCGAGGCAGCAAACCUCUGAUUUGAUUCAAGUUGUCUGAUGUGUUGUGCCUUUGUGCCCAUCUCGAAAAUUAAUUAUAUUGUCAUGUAUAUUGAAAAUUACUUAUGAUGAGUGAUGACAUUUAAGGCCUGAUAUGAAAGUUCUGCUUUUGCUUGUUGAUGUAAACUUGGUAUGUUUAGAACCAAAUUAAAAACAUUGUAGAGGUUCUACUGGUGUGAGAUGAAGUAAGGCUGGUGUUGGUCGGUUGCACCUGUGGUGGGGGGGUGAAUUUACAGUGGUUCUAAAGGCGGGACUAGAGUAUGGUGAUUGCUUUAAGAUUGAGGUGUGAAAAUCUUAAGAUGGGAAGUUCAAGUACAGGGAACUAAGGGAAAUCAUGAAGAUAUUGUUUGGGGUAAAACCUAGAGAGGACAGAGAACUAGGGAAAUGGAGUGAACAAAAAAGUAGGAACCAAACACUCACAGAGGUAAUUAAGGAACUAAUAAGUGAUUUUUCAGAAGCUAUGUUUGACAACAAUACUUACAACUCAGAAUGCAACAUAAGUCCAGCUAACAUCACAAAGGAUGAGGACUACACUAAUUGCGAGAGGCAAUAACAUAACAUACUAAGAGAUUUGAUGAAGUAUCAGAUAUUAAUGAGAAAUAAUCACAAAGAUGCUGCGAUCUACUAAUAAAAAAGUCUCGGUUAAAUUGCUUGAUUGGGAACAAAUAAAAUCAUUUAACAACAGCAUUGAUCAUACUUAAACCACACAUUAUCCUAAAUAUAUUUGUACUACUAAAUGUGUCUCCAUGUACCACCAUCAUUUUUAGUGUUUUCAAGUGUUUCUCUUAUAUUUUUAUAGUAGUACAUGGCAACCAUCAUUAUAUGCCUUUGAUAAAGAGUUGCAAGUGUGGCCAACAUGACAUUUUUAGUGCUGCCAGGUGCAUGAAACGAUUCUCCUCAGUGCCAACAACAAGAAUGAGAUAAUAAACAAGAAAUGUAUCAUGAGAUAAUAUUCAAGAGGCAGAUUCAUACUAGUACAAGCUACAAAAUUAUGGUGAAUAAUGAACCAUCUGGAGGAGAUCAAACGUAGACGUCUCACUAUACAUACUAUCGGCCAGAUUUAGCUAGUCAUAGUAUAUGAUGCGGUACUCGGUGCUUAGAAGGAAGAUGAUCUAUAUGUACUUAUUAGAAGUAUUUGUGGUACUAAAACAAAUAUAUAUUAGUUGGGUUUGAUUAAGUACAUUAAUUUUCGUUAAUUAGGAUUUGUCAUGUAUACUCUUAAUUUAAUUAGUUUUGGAAAUUAUAAUACAGAUAUGACAAUUAUUUUUGGCA